GGUUGCAAACACGGGUUGUUUCUAGUAAAGGAUGUGUAAAGAAUUUUUCAUAGAUUACCCUGGGCAUAAUGUUGAUGCUGGAGCCAAAGUCGCAGAGUGCUUCUGGGAAGUCCACCAUGCCGAUGGAGAUCGGGAUGACGGGGUGUCCUGGAUCGCCUCUCUUGACCGGCAGAAGGUCAGUAAUUACUUCCACAACGGGGUUACUCUAGUAGUUACCUGCAUCCAACAUGUCUACAAAAUUUCC
rnacentral:lncRNA from 1 species